rnacentral:lncRNA from 1 species
AUGGACACCUCUCAUCUUCCUCCAUCAUCUCCCCUCAUGACUGCCCGUCCUCUCCUCCACAAUCUCCCAUCAUGGACACCUCUCAUCUUGCUCCAUGAUCUCGCAUCUACCUUCAGGGCUGCCCCUCAUCUCCUCCAUGUUCUCCUCUCAUCUUCCUCCAUGAUCUCCCCUCAUGGACAUCCCCAUCUUCCCUCAGGGCUGCCCCUCAUCUUCCUCCAUGAUUUCCCCACAUGGACACGCCUCCUCUCCUCCAUGUUCUCUCCUCAUGGACACUCCUCACCUCCUCCAUGUUCUCCCCUCACGGACACCCCUCAUCUCCUCCAUGUUCUCCCCUCAUGGACACCCCUCAUCUUCCUCCAUGAUCUCCCCUCAUGGACACCCCUCCUCUUCCUCCAUGAUCUCCCCUCAUGGCCACCCCUCCUCUUCCUCCAUGAUCUCCCCUCAUGGACACCCCUCAUCUUCCUCCAUGAUCUCCCCUCAUGGACACCCCUCCUCUUCCUCCAUGAUCUCCCCUCAUGGCCACCCCUCCUCUUCCUCCAUGAUCUCCCCUCAUGGACACCCCUCAUCUUCCUCCACGAUCUCCCCUCAUGGACACCCCUCAUCUUCCUCCAUGAUCUCCCCUCAUGGACACCCCUCCUCUUCCUCCAUGAUCUCCCCUCAUGGCCACCCCUCACAUCCUAUAGCUGCCUCUCAUCUUCCUCCAUGUUUUCCCCUCAUCAUCCUCCAUGAUCUCCCCCCAUGGCUGCCCCUCAUCUUCCUCCAUGGUCUCCCCCAUGACCUCCCCUCACAAACGCGGCCAUUCCCCAUCUCCCCCGGAUCUCUCCCAUUCCAUCUCCCUCUUCCGGGGGGGGGGGGGGGGGGGGGGGGGGGGGGGGGGGGGGGGGGGGGGGGG